rnacentral:rRNA from 1 species
CGGUCAAGUCCUCAUGGCCUUUAUGCUUAGGGCUACACACGUGCUACAAUGGGUGGUACAAAGAGAAGCCAACUCGCGAGAGCGCGCCAAUCUCAAAAAGCCAUCCUCAGUUCGGAUUGGAGUCUGCAACUCGACUCCAUGAAGUUGGAAUCGCUAGUAAUCGCGGAUCAGCAUGCCGCGGUGAAUACGGUUCCCGGGCCUU